UACGGAGGGUGCAAGCGUUAUCCGGAUUCACUGGGUUUAAAGGGUGCGUAGGUGGGCAGGUAAGUCAGUGGUGAAAUCUCCGAGCUUAACUCAGAAACUGCCAUGGAUACUAUUGUCUUGAAUAUUGUGGAGGUAAGCGGAAUAUGUCAUGUAGCGGUGAAUGCUUAGAUAUGACAUAGAACACCAAUUGCGAAGGCAGCUUACUACACAGUUAUUGACGCUGAGGCACGAAAGCGUGGGGAUCAAACAGG
rnacentral:rRNA from 1 species